CUAUGAGAGAGAUGAGAAAGCGAGGAGUGGAAGCAGGGGGCUGAGAGUGCCCAGGCUCUGCCAAUGAGCAGCUGUCUGAGCUCUAUAAAGGCUGACUGGUGGUAUGAUGGGGCUUGAUAUCUUGGGAAGGUGCUUGUUGUUAUGGUCUGGGAUGCUGCUAGGUGGCUCUUGGUCAAGGAGGAAGAGCAGGAAGGCUGGUUCCUGGUUUGGUACUUCAAGAUGCAGUGGGGGAGUGGUUUUCUCAUUGUUUCUUCUAAGAACUGAUCUGGUUUUUGUUCAAAACCCACCUUUGCCUCAGGGAAGCUGUAUGUCACCGGCUGCCCCUGAUGUUGCUCCCUGAUGAACCAGAACUGCGGGCAAUGGAGAUGAAUCUACCUCUGCUGGGAUAAUUGUAGUAGAUAAGAGAAUUGGAGCCUCCAGCUCAGUUGAAGAGAGAGAAGUGCUCGGUUGUGACUUGGAGACGGGAGGCACGGCAUGCAGCCAGCAUGGGGAGCAAGAACCAGCUUGCCCAGCCUGGAUCCUGAUGGCUCUUUCCAUGCAUGCACCUCCUUUGACAGCAUGUGCUUUCCAACCAGUAGGGUGGGGAGGAAGAAAAUGGGAGCUGGAAUGUGGGCUCCACAGCAAGAGCUCAAAAACAUCAUGAGAACUCUCAGGAAUGUGAGGUGGGAGGGGAAAGAUUAUCUGUGUUAUUAUUUAAUACCUGUAGCUCCAUGACCCAGCAGGUCUGUGUGCUCCAAUAUUUCCUCCAUCCAUCUGCAGGAGCUGUGUUGUGUGGUCACCUCCUGGAGGGGAUUUGUGUGGGGUCACAGUGGAAGGGGGGGAAGCAACAGCGUGCUUUUCAUUUCUGCUGGCAGUUUUUGCUAGACACAGAUUGCUGUGAGCUGCAGCAAAGGCAACGUGGUAAAACAACUGAGACUGAAUGUGUGGAUCUGCUGCUUUUUUGGUUGGCAAGGGGAGGAACAUGCUACUUUGCACCAAGUGGGAAUGUGGACAUUGUCCUCUGUUGUUGUUUUUCCUUUCCAGCCUGGCACAGCAGCCUGUUGAUGCCCAUUGGGAAAUGGCAAUGACUGGACUCAGCACCCAGCAGGUACUGGGACUCUCUGUGCUCCCCAUCGCCAUGCAGUGUAAUGCUCUGUGCACCCCACGUUGCUGCUCUGCCUUCACUUCAGAUGCAGCUCUGACUCAUUUGAACUCACUGAGCACCCGUGGGUGUGCACCCGAGGGUUGCUGCUGCGUGGUGUGGAGCCUGAGGGCUGCUUCCCUUGCAGACAGAGGUGUUGCUUGCUCUCCUGCCUUACUGUCUGCUAGGAUGGGAAGCAGGAACGAUUUAAGGUACCUCAAAAAGGAAUUGGAUGACCUGAGCUCCAAGCAGAGAUUGUAUGAGAUUUAUUUCUAAAGGAUAACUUGAAACGUUUAGCAACGCUUUGUUUUAUCUUCCACUUUGACACAAAUUGUCAUUGUGCAGUAAUGGGGAGAAGCAAUAAAGGCUCUCUGCAUUUCCUGCUCUGCACAAUGACCUGCAGCACCUUUUCUUGUCAAGAUUUUGAAUGCAAAGCUUUGUGGAGGACAGAGCCCGGCUUGGGUGUGAAGUCCAAAUCCAGACAACAUGAGAUGCAAAGCUAAGGCAGCAGAAGGGGUGCAGGGUUCUGGGGUACCACGGUGCCCAUCAGUUGUGUGCGGGUGACAGCAUGGGCUGGGUGCAUGGAGGAAGGGGGCAUGGGUGUGGGCAGAGCAGCAGUGUUGGCAGCUGGAGAAGCUUCCCAGCAGGGCACGGGGUUUUGCAGCACUUGCAGCUAUUUCCCAGUGCCCUUCUGUGCUCUCACCACCUGGCUCUGGCGCACGGCAGCUGCAGUGCAGCCCCUUUACAGCUGUUUGCAUAAGACCUGCUCAUCACUCUGUGCUCCUCUCCCUGCCCUUGCCACAGCAAAAUAGCUCUCUGGGUGGUGAUGCGUGCCCAUCUCCUCAGCUGUGUGGCUUUGUGCAGAGCUGCCAAUGCUUUUCAGGCAAGAAAAACUGCUUUGAGGAAGUCUGGCUCUGCUGUCGUGGGUAUCGUGUGGUGGGCUCUGGUGACAGAGUGCUGUUCCCAGGUGAAGUGGUUGUAUACAGAGAUCUGAUGGAAGAUUGAGCAUAAAGAUCUACAAAGAGGUAAAAAAAACCCCAAACACCUGAAAAAGCCCAUAGAUAGCCCAGUUCCUGUCAAUGGAGGAUGGAGAUAUGGUGUGGUCUGUGGGUGAGAGCAGGGUAGUGGGAUAACGGGGAGCUCAGUGAGCACGUGGGUGUGGGCAGAGUGCCUGGCCCAGCAUGGACUAAACCCAUCCGCCUCUUCAGCCUUAGCUUCAAUCAGCAAUGUGCUUCUGCUCUGUAUAAGCAAUUAGCAUCACGUGGCUGUGGUGAUUUUCAUCUGGCACCUGCAUCCCGAAGCCAAUUUAGCAUGAAAAUGCUCAGUGUGUAAACACAAGGAGAAUAGCCUCUUAGCUCCUGGGCCCUCUGUCCUUGGUGUGACAUUCACUAUUUACAAAGAUUGGGGCUUUUUGUUUUGUUUUCCACCGCAGCAGGAAACCACACAGAUUUCUCUGAACUCAAAGCAUGAUGACUUUUUUUGAUGACCAAAAUGACCGCUUCUGCUCGACUAAUACUGGACAAAUAUUGACUCAUGGCUACUACAAGUUGGUUCCUUCACUGAUGAAUGCUCAAGGCUACUUGGAUAAACAAAUGAUUUCUCAUGAAUAUUCUUAGUUUAGCACAUCCCUAGAAUAAUAAUGCGUCCUGUGUAUAUCCACACUGUGCUUCUUUUUCCCUCUUGACAGUUUGAGGUGACAUUGUGUGAAACUUUGUUAGCACAAAGAACGAGUGUCCCAUUGUGGUUGGCUGGAUGUUAGGAAGGGGUUGUUUUUACUCAUUAGGAAUGGUGAUGCAGUGGCACAGGCUGCCUGGGGAGGUGGUGGGAUCACCAUUCCUGGGCAUGUUCUGGAAACAUGGAGAUGUGGAACUGCUGGAUGGUGGGGAUGGUUUGGUGGUUGGGCUGGGUGAUCUUAGUGGUCCUCUCCAAACUUCAUUCCUCUGUCAUUCUCCAGCACAAGGGUUCAGCUGCACAGUCCUUGGUGUCUGCUUGACCGUGAGCAGUAGCCUGUAAUUUUAUAUAUGAGAGGGGGAGACACAGUGAAGACCUGCUGAAACGAUGGGGUUGAUGUUCCAGGAGCUCCACAGCAUGGAGAGGUGAUGGGGAUAAAACCAACACAAUAGUCCUGCUUUCCAAAUAUUGAGCUGCAACCCUAAAAUCUGAACACUUGGGCCAAGGCAAACAUUGCCAGUUCUACUGUGAACCCUGGCAGGGAGGCUUCCUGUCGUUCAUUUCAUCUUCCCUCCAUUGAAACAGCGAUGCAUCUCAUGGUUGGUCAGCUUUGGAGCAAAUGGUUUUCCUUAAUGUGAAGUCACUAAGCACCCGGGGACGUCUUCUGCUCCUCUGAUGACAGCAGGACCAUUAGCUUCGUUUUGCCGCAAUCAGUUACUCCACUUCAGUGUGGCUGGAAACAUCAGCGCCCUGCGUUGGCAUUGCCUUGCAGACACUUUGCAUUGAUAUGAAUGGCCCCACAACUGUGAACUGAUGUGUAGGUGAGGCUGUUAAAAUAAUUUAGCGUAAGCUAGUAAGUAGAAUGAAGUAUUCCAGAACAGCUCUUCCGGAAUAGCUCCCUGCAAUGAACGUUCAGGUCCAGAAUAAAGAGCCACUUAAUUCUGGAAUAAUUACUCUAAUUAUUUUCAAUGACUCCUUUCUCAAAUUCUGUGAAGUGUCUAAAAAUGGUGUGUGUCCCCGUCACCCCGAGGAGAUCUCACUGCUUCACAGAGCUCACACUAGAUGAAGUUACCGACUCCCCCAGGCAGCCUGGUGGUUUUUUAAUCCAUUUACCGUGUUUUGAUUCCAUGGUGAUAAGGACUUUAUAAAUGCUAAUUGAUAAAUGAGAUAGAGUUUAUAUUGGCUCAUCCAGGGCAGAAAUAGUCAAAUGCAUACAAAACUGCUAUUAUUAAAGAACAAGGCAAGA